UUUAAACCUCCCUCAAAUAAUACACAAAAUGUAGGAGAAAUACCAAGACCCUGUUGGAAAUAAAAGUCAGAGCUUUGUCACAGAAGAGCAGUUAGGAAGAGGAAGGACUUGCUUACCAGUACAGCUCCCAGAGACACAUUGAGAAACCCCUGGCCUCUCACAUCUAGACGUCAGAAAUCAGAAACAUCUCUGGCCCUCACCUCUUAGAGAGCUUCAUGCUGACCACCCUUCAUCACCCUAAUUUGCCCUUUAGUGUCUCUGACCAUGUUGGGAUUGCCAACAUGCACGUUAGGCUUAGUUACAGGCACACUCAGAAAAAUGUAAUGAUAAGGCUCACGCCCUCUGCUCUGUGACUGAGAUGAGCUGAGUUUGGGGCACAUGAUGGGAGAAAGUGAUUUGGAAAUAUGACUUAUGACUGAAUAAGUCAGAGGAAUGGAUGUAAUGUAAUAUAUAACUGAUUAAAGUUGGAGUUCACUUUGUUGUGAGCUACAAAAAUGGAGCCACUCCUAUGGUCUUCUGAGAGAACCACAAGUGUAACAGAAAGAGAGUUCAAAAGUGAAUCCAUCAAGGAACUGCUUAAUUCUUAGUUUUGCUGCUCUAGAAAUAUAAUCAGUGAAUGUCCACAAAAUUUUUGUGAAAAAACAUUGAUUGGCACCCAACAACUUGAACUUUCGAUUAAUAAGACUAGUGACCUUUUUGUUUUGUUUUGUUGACCGUCACACAUGCCUUCUGAGCCUUAUAUUUGUCUUUUUUUUUCAGCUCCCCUUUACAAUCAGUUUUUCCCACUUUAUAAAAUGCAGUAGAUAUGAAGAUCGACUGCCCAGCCAUCCCUCAACAAAGGACUUGCUGCCUGUAGUGGGGUAAAUGAUGACCCCAAAAAGAUACAUCCA
rnacentral:lncRNA from 1 species